rnacentral:tRNA from 1 species
AAGGCUUUAAGUUAAGUUAAACUCAUAGCCUUCAAAGUUGUAAACAAAGAUGAAUUCUUUAAGCCUUA